CACAUAAUUUGUAAACAAUAAACGGCCGGUUUGUUUUUUCGUUUAUAAUAUGUCGUAGCCCCACGUGAGUGCUCCUCUAACUAGUACUGUGUAUACUUAAGGAAAAUGGACCUUUUACAACCGGAUCACAAUCGGAGAACGUAUCAGCGUACCUCCCGAUAUGACUGGUCUUUUAUCGGAGUGGUUAACAUUCGAGUUAUCAUCUCAUAGCCACGUCUGUGGUGCGUGUUAUGACAAGAUAUCAAGAUGUCUUGCAACGAAUUCCAGUGAAAGACAACUCGGUCAUAUCAAUGUAUGGCUGUGGUAAAUCAGUUACACAUGCCAAAAGACACGAAAUUCUGGAGGGAAGCCCUCCGGCCUCAGUUGUAUCACUGUGGCAGUACUUACAUGAUGACAUGUUAGAGCAGCCAACUUUUUAUGUCAUGGUUGUUACAUGAGAGCUAACAGAGAAGUGAGCCGAAGAAUUAUUACUGAUUCCAACCGUUUUGACGCCUUAGAAGAUCACCAACCUGAUCAAAAUAUCCAAAUACCAAUUCCUCCACCACUUGCCCCACAACUUCAUCUUGGCCCAGGUCAAGAUGUUUCAUCAA